UAAAGGCAGCAAUGUCUUAGGUGGCGACCGGCGCACGGGUGAGUAACACGUAUGCAACCUGCCCACAACUGCGGGAUAACCCGUCGAAAGACGGACUAAUACCGCAUGGUAUGGAUUGAUCGCCUGAUUGAUUCAUCAAAGAAUUUCGGUUGUGGAUGGGCAUGCGUUCCAUUAGGCAGUUGGUGAGGUAACGGCUCACCAAACCUACGAUGGAUAGGGGUUCUGAGAGGAAGGUCCCCCACACUGGUACUGAGACACGGACCAGACUCC
rnacentral:rRNA from 1 species